UAGGGAAUAUUGGACAAUGGGUGAGAGCCUGAUCCAGCCAUGCCGCGUGCAGGAAGAAGGCGUUAUGCGUUGUAAACUGCUUUUUGCCAGGGGAUAAAAAGACCGUGCGCGGUUAAUUGAAGGUACCUGGUGAAUAAGCCACGGCUAACUACGUGCCAGCAGCCGCGGUAAUACGUAGGUGGCAAGCGUUGUCCGGAUUUAUUGGGUUUAAAGGGUGCGUAGGUGGCCCUGUAAGUCAGUGGUGAAAUAUCUCAUCUUAACUGAGAGGGUGCCAUUGAUACUGCAGGGCUUGAGUACAGAUGAGGUAGGCGGAAUUGACGGUGUAGCGGUGAAAUGCAUAGAUAUCGUCAAGAACACCGAUAGCGAAGGCAGCUUACCAAGCUGUAACUGACACUGAGGCACGAAAGUGUGGGGAUCAAACAGGAUUAGAUACCCAGGUAGUCCCUGAGCGGGCUGGCAAGGCGCAU
rnacentral:rRNA from 1 species